AGUUGGUAAGGUAACGGCUUACCAAGGCCACGAUCGCGUAGCCGACCUGAAAGGGUGAUCGGCCACACUGGGACUGAGACACGGCCCAGACUCCUACGGGAGGCAGCAGUAGGGAAUCUUCCGCAAUGGACGAAAGUCUGAUCGGAGCAACGCCGCGUGAUGUGACGAAGGCCUUCAGGUCGUAAAGCUCUGUUGUUAGGGAAGAACAAGUACCGUUCGAAUAGGGGGGUACCUUGACGGUACCUAACCAGAAAGCCACGGCUAACUACGUGCCAGCAGCCGCGGUAAUACGUAGGUGGCAAGCGUUGUCCGGAAUUAUUGGGCGUAAAGCGCGCGCAGGCGGUCUCUUAAGUCUGAUGUGAAAGGCCCACGGCUCAACCGUGGAGGGCCAUUGGAAACUGGGGGACUUGAGUGCAGAAGAGGAGAGUGGAAUUCCACGUGUAGCGGUGAAAUGCGUAGAUAUGUGGAGGAACACCAGUGGCGAAGGCGGCUCUCUGGUCUGUAACUGACGCUGAGGCGCGAAAGCGUGGGGAGCAAACAGGAUUAGAUACCCUGGUAGUACACGCCGUAAACGAUGAGUGCUAGUUGUUGGGGGGUUCCACCCUCAGUGCUGAAGCUUACACAUUAAGCACUCUGCCUGGGGAGUACGACCGCAAGGUUGAAACUCAAAGGAAUUGACGGGGGCCCGCUCAAGCAGUGGAGCAUGUGGUUUAAUUCGAAGCAACGCGAAGAACCUUACCAGGUCUUGACAUCCUCUGCCACUCCUAGAGAUAGGACGUUCCCCUUCGGGGGACAAAAUGACAGGUGGUGCAUGGUUGUCCUCAGCUCGUGUCGUGAGAUAUUGGGUUAAGUCCCGCAACGAGCGCAAACGUUGAUCUUAGUUGCCAGCAUUCAGUUGGGCACUCUAAGGUGACUCCCGGUGACAAACCGGAGGAAGGUGGGGACGACAUCCAAAUCAUC
rnacentral:rRNA from 2 species